ACGAACGCUGGCGGCGUGCUUCACACAUGCAAGUCGAACGGUGAAGCGCCUUCCUUUUUGGUGGGUGUGGAUGAGUGGCGAACGGGUGAGUAACACGUGAGUAACCUGCCCCCUUCUUCUGGAUAACCGCAUGAAAGUGUGGCUAAUACGGGAUAUUCUGGGUCUGUCGCAUGAUGGGUCUGGGAAAGAUAUUGUUUCGGUGGGGGAUGGGCUCGCGGCCUAUCAGCUUGUUGGUGGGGUGAUGGCCUACCAAGGCGGUGACGGGUAGCCGGCCUGAGAGGGUGGACGGUCACACUGGGACUGAGACCCGGCCCAGACUCCUACGGGGGGCAGCAGUGGGGAAUAUUGCACAAUGGGCGCUAGCCUGAUGCAGCGACGCCGCGUGAGGGAUGGAGGCCUUCGGGUUGUGAACCUCUUUCGCCAGUGAAGCAGGCCUGCCUCGUUUGUGGGUGGGUUGACGGUAGCUGGAUAAGAAGCGCCGGCUAACUACGUG
rnacentral:rRNA from 1 species